UACGUAGGUGGCAAGCGUUAUCCGGAUUUAUUGGGCGUAAAGGGAACGCAGGCGGUCUUUUAAGUCUGAUGUGAAAGCCUUCGGCUUAACUGGAGUAGUGCAUUGGAAACUGGGAGACUUGAGUGCAGAAGAGGAGAGUGGAACUCCAUGUGUAGCGGUGAAAUGCGUAGAUAUAUGGAAGAACACCAGUGGCGAAAGCGGCUCUCUGGUCUGUAACUGACGCUGAGGUUCGAAAGCGUGGGUAGCAAACAGG
rnacentral:rRNA from 1 species